rnacentral:rRNA from 1 species
GUCCUACGGGGGGCAGCAGUAGGAAUAUUGGUCAAUGGGAGAGAUCCUGAACCAGCCAAGCCGCGUGAGGGAAGACGGCCCUAUGGGUUGUAAACCUCUUUUGUCGGAGAACAAAACCCGGGACGUGUCCCGGACUGCGUGUAUCCGAAGAAAAAGCAUCGGCUAACUCCGUGCCAGCAGCCGCGGUAAUACGGAGGAUGCGAGCGUUAUCCGGAUUUAUUGGGUUUAAAGGGUGCGUAGGCGGUCCGUUAAGUCAGCGGUAAAAUUGCGGGGCUCAGCCCCGUCGAGCCGUUGAAACUGGCAGA